CUUUAUCUAUUGAUGAUGAAUUGAAGAAGGUUGGGGCACCCAUUUCUUCUCUGAAGGAUUCCAAAGAGGUUGUUCAGAAUGGUACGAUAGAUGGGGUCGCAUUGUGGAAGUCAUUAAAAAUAAGAAUAAAGUAGGGUUGGGAUUUAAGCAAGGGUCAUUUAAUGCCAAUGUCAAGUCUAUGCAAGAAGUUUUUCGCAGUGGAGGGUUCA
rnacentral:lncRNA from 1 species